CACCAUUAAAGCCCAAGAAGGAAGUAGAUGCUCGCAGGUGGUGGUGUUUUUAAAUAGUUGUGUUGUGAAGCAAUGGCAUUGCAAAUGGUUGCCCGCUUGAAUUUGAAGUCCGGGGAACGCAUUGAAUUGAAAGCCAAGGUGCCCCGAGAGGCCAAAAGCUUUACCUUUGAUAUCGGCCAGAAUCCCUCGAAUCUGCUUCUUCGCUUUAACGCUCGAUUUGAGACAUACGACGGAGAUAGAGUCGUUGUUUUUAGAUCUGAUACGGGGGGAGAGAGGGACCUUCUCUUGGACCUGGGACUAUUCGUC